rnacentral:lncRNA from 1 species
AUUAUUCUGUUUUUACUUACUAUUAUUGUAAACGGGCCAAUUUGCCCGGGCCCACGUCAGAACCAAAGUCCAAUAAUAAAAUAUAUAUAUAUAAAACCAUAAUUAAGUAAAUGUACAUUUACAAAUCUAGCCCAAAUACAAGACCAAAAAUUUUAAAUCAUAGCGGCCCAGUUUACAGUCCAAUUACAAAAAUUACGGCCCAACUGCAAGAAUAGGCCCAAAAAGCCCAAAAUGUCAACAUUUCAGAAACCCUAGGGCUCUCUUCCACUUUGCGCCGCAGCCGAGCCCCCAAGCGCCUCCGUACACUCCAACCUCUAGUAACCACGCCAAGCCUUCAGCACCGUACGGCCAGUGCGCGGCCCUCGUACGCUAUGGCCGCACCUCCGUACGAUGCCAACGCAUUCCGUACCUGCACACCAAACACAAAGAGACAACAGACCCAAGAAAAUAGCAGAAAAAUUGUAUAUUUUUAUUAUUUUCUUCUCUCGACUAUAAAGCAUUGUAUUUUUUUUCGAUUGUGGGGCUUCGUUUUUACGAACACAAGCACAUUUUUGCAUACUGAAUACAAAGAAAAGAAAUCAAAACCUUGAAAAGGUGAUUAUUCGGCUUUGGCCUUUCUUUCCCGUUUGUUUUCAUCUUCUUUUCUUAUUUUUUGGUUGCACAUACUGUCAUUUCGAGCAUAAAAAUGGGUAAAAGGGAGCGAGGGGGUUACCUAUAUGAACAAACUGCCGGAAUCCUCGUCUCCUUCGCUUUAAUUGAAGUCAGGACGGGGUGUAAGGUCUGAAAUCGGAAGUCCUUAAAGCAAUGGCCCAAGCAGGGUCAGCGAGAGUACAAAUCUCCCUCCGUCGAUCACCGUUCGGGGUGGUCAAGUGGCGGCUAGGACCUCUUGAGAUUCGAACAAAGGAGGAGGAUUAGGUUUCGGCUGAAGAGUAAGGAUUGGAGGGCUAGGGUUU